rnacentral:rRNA from 1 species
AACGAACGCUGGCGGCAUGCCUAACACAUGCAAGUCGAACGAGACCUUCGGGUCUAGUGGCGCACGGGUGCGUAACGCGUGGGAACCUGCCCUUAGGUUCGGAAUAACUCCCCGAAAGGGGUGCUAAUACCGGAUAAUGUCUUCGGACCAAAGAUUUAUCGCCUUUGGAUGGGCCCGCGUUGGAUUAGCUAGUUGGUAGGGUAAAAGCCUACCAAGGCGACGAUCCAUAGCUGGUCUGAUAGGAUGAUCAGCCACACUGGGACUGAGACACGGCCCAGACUCCUACGGGAGGCAGCAGUGGGGAAUAUUGGACAAUGGGCGAAAGCCUGAUCCAGCAAUGCCGCGUGAGCGAUGAAGGCCUUAGGGUUGUAAAGCUCUUUUACCCGGGAUGAUAAUGACAGUACCGGGAGAAUAAGCUCCGGCUAACUCCGUG